CUAAGAUCAGUUUACCCAUAAAUGGGUAGUUCAUUAACCCAUAUUUGGGUUUCAUAUACAUUACCCAUAAUAUGGGUAAAAUAUACCUUCGAAAAACGGUAAAAUUUACCCAUAUUAUAGGUAAAAUCGCUAUACCCAAAUAUGGGUAAAUGAACUUACCCAUAUUUGGAUGAAAAUUUUCAAGUUAGCAACUUUUCUCGGAAUGCAUUAGUGCGCCAUCAUAACACUAUCGGGAUAUUUUAGAUAUUUUGAUUUCCACGGCACCGCUAGCCAGUCGAGGUCCUUCAGCAUCAGGUUUAAUGACCGAUACCGCGUCCAUCGGAUUCCCACGCGAGUUAGAGUCGAGGUUCCCAUAUACAUUGAUAUUUUGAUCGGGUUUGGUACACGAAGAUAAUGCAGGAGCAACAAAUCAUCAUGUAGAGCUACAAGAAAGGCUACAAAAGCAUGGAAUUUGCAGUCUUAUUCCACAGUUCCGACUGCACCAAGGCUUCAACCGCCGGAAGAACGGGGAACGGAACGGAAUUACAUACAUGGGUCGUUAUGAAAACUUCAAAGAGCUCCGUCUCGGAAC